GGUGGAUGAUGAUGAUGAUGAUGAUGACGACGACGAUGAUGCGGCCUCUGCGCCGUCUUUGUCUUCCACGUCGCCGUUAUCCUUUUGU
rnacentral:miRNA from 1 species